rnacentral:rRNA from 1 species
UACGUAGGGUGCAAGCGUUGUCCGGAAUUAUUGGGCGUAAAGAGCUCGUAGGCGGUCUGUCGCGUCUGCUGUGAAAACCUAGGGCUUAACUCUGGGCGUGCAGUGGGUACGGGCAGGCUAGAGUGCGGUAGGGGAGACUGGAAUUCCUGGUGUAGCGGUGAAAUGCGCAGAUAUCAGGAGGAACACCGGUGGCGAAGGCGGGUCUCUGGGCCGUAAGCUGACGCUGGAGGAGCGAAAGCAUGGGGAGCGAACAGGAUUAGAAACC